UGAUGCCGCCUCUACAUCUCUUCUGUUGC
rnacentral:piRNA from 1 species